GACUCCGUAGCUCAGCUGGAUAGAGCGUUUGGCUACGAACCAAAAGGUCGGGGGUUCGAAUCCCUCCGGGGCCA
rnacentral:tRNA from 1 species